AGCUCACAUCAGCUCAGCUUUAACAUCAACCAUGUUCCCUGUAGCUCUGAUACUGCUGCUGGCAGCUGGAUCCUGUGUGAACAGUAUCAGUCUCAUCCAGCCAGACUCACUGGUCGCGCAGCCUGGACAGUCUUUGACCAUCACCUGUCAGGUCUCUGGUUAUUCUUUGACUGAUGACAGCUACGCAACAGGCUGGAUCAGACAGCG